rnacentral:rRNA from 1 species
UGGGGAAUAUUGCACAAUGGGGGAAACCCUGAUGCAGCGACGCCGCGUGAACGAAGAAGGUAUUCGUAUCGUAAAGUUCUGUCCUAUGGGAAGAUAAUGACAGUACCAUAGAAGAAAGCUCCGGCUAAAUACGUGCCAGCAGCCGCGGUAAUACGUAUGGAGCGAGCGUUGUCCGGAAUAAUUGGGCGUAAAGGGUACGCAGGCGGUUUAAUAAGUCGAAUGUUAAAGAUCGGGGCUCAACCCCGCAAAGCAUUGGAAACUGAUAAACUUGAGUAGUGGAGAGGAAAGUGGAAUUCCUAGUGUAGUGGUGAAAUACGUAGAUAUUAGGAGGAAUACCAGUAGCGAAGGCGACUUUCUGGACACAAACUGACGCUGAGGUACGAAAGCGUGGGGAGCAAACAGG